GAACGAGAAAGUCCCGCAAGGGAUCAGUAAAGUGGCGUACGGGUGAGUAACACGUAGCCAACCUACCCUCGAGUGGGGAAUAACCCGGGGAAACCUGGGCUAAUACCGCAUAACAUCUCGGUUUCACAAGAGGCUGAGAUCAAGGGCCCGUAAGGGUCGCUGGAGGAGGGGGCUGCGGCCGAUUAGCUAGUUGGUGAGGUAACGGCCCACCAAGGCGAUGAUCGGUAGCCGGCCUGAGAGGGCGCACGGCCACACUGGCACUGAAACACGGGCCAGACUCCUACGGGAGGCAGCAGUGGGGAAUUUUGCACAAUGCCCGAAAGGGUGAUGCAGCAACGCCGCGUGAGGGAUGAAGGCCUUCGGGUCGUAAACCUCUUUCGACCGGAAAAAAUGGUCCGCUGAAGAGGCGGGCCUGAUGGUACUGGUGGAACAAGCCCCGGCUAACUACGUG
rnacentral:rRNA from 1 species